UGCUCAUCAAAAAUCACAACAAGAAGAAUGUGGACCAUGCUGCUGUGAUUGACACAUAUGAAAUGAAUCGGAUAUGGACCAAAAAAACCUCAAGACUGAAGAUGGAGCCGUUACAUUACAAGUUCAUACUUGGGAUUAUUAAUGAACACCACCACUGGAUGUUAACGGUAAUUCAUCCAUCAGAGAAAAGGUCUCUGUUCUUGGAUCCUCUGGGAGAAUCCCAUGAAAAGACCAAAAGAUGCCUUGAAGCAACCAG